UCUCCAGCUUCUCGUGUUCCUUCUUCCUGAUAUUGCUGUCAUUCGGAACCGCUACAUCGAUCACUACGGCCGUCUUCUUCUGUUUGUCUACCACCACUAUGUCCGGUUGGUUAGCCACCACCAUUUUGUCCGUCUGUAUCUGGAAGUCCCACAGGAUCUUAGCUCGGUCAUUCUCCACCACCCUUGGGGGCAUCUCCCAUUUUGACCUCGGGACUUCCAGGUUAUACUCGGCACAGAUGUUCCUGUACACUAUGCCGGCCACUUGGUUAUGGCUUUCCAUGUAUGCCUUGCCUGCUAGCAUCUUGCACCCUGCUGUUAUGUGCUGGAUUGUCUCUGGGGCAUCUUUACACAGCCUGCACCUGGGGCCUUGCCUGGUGUGAUAGACCCCAGCCUCUAUGGAUCUUGUACUCAGAGCUUGUUCUUGUGCUGCCAUGAUUAGUGCCUCUGUGCUGUCUUUCAGUCCAGCUUUGUCCAGCCACUGGUAGGAUUUCUGGAUAUCAGCCACCUCCUCUAUCUGCCGGUGGUACAUACCGUGCAGGGUCCUGUCCUUCUAUGAUGGUUCCUCGUCUCCCUCCUCUUUCUUGGGUUUCUGCUGCCUGAGGUAUUCACUGAGCACUUGGUCAGUUGGGGCCAUCUUCCCAAUGUAUUCUUGGAUGAAUAGGAUGAGGGACCUAUGGAUUCUUCGCUGCAAGCAUUGACGAGCGCAUGCUUUUAACAUUGACCCGUGAUGAUCUGAGGGACCUUUUUUCUGGGCCUGAGCACUUUCUCAGAAGAAAACAUGUGUGGUCAAUAAUUCAUCCUGAGGUAUUAUGUAAAAAAUAUUUAGUUCAACUAAUCUCCAGAAAGUAUGCUUUUAUUUUAGCAGUACUUGACAUUUUUAUUUUCUCACCCUAAACCAGGAAGACCAUCCGCUACCACAGAAACCUGAAACAACUUCUUCACCCAGGGUAGUUGCAACAGGCCCUCCAACUGCUGAUGCUAAUGUAAGCCAGCUGAAAACCUUGCAGCUCCCCAGUCCUCCGGAAUAUGUUCUGUACACCGACAGUGAGUUGGAGCAAUGCCGAAAGAGUUACCUGGAGUUGGCCUGCUCCGGCAGGGAACAGGCAUGCGUCAUGUCAAAAGAACUGAGAUGCAGAUUGGUGAGAAAUACAAUCACAAGUAUGGUGUCCCUUUUGAGAGCAAGCCAAGGCCAAAUGGAGCGAUACCCCUCUAAGACCGAAAUCACUGCAAUGGCUAAAAAAGUUGUGGAAUAUUAUCCUAUGCUGCAGGAUAAUGAUGCAAGCGUAAAACACGAGAGCAUUAAUGCCAAGUUACAAAAAAGGCUGCAAAAUAUGAAAACCCCAGUAAAAAGGCAAGGACCAACACCGGAGAGGGGACGGCCCAAGAGAAGGCUCACUGACCUCUACCCAAGGGAUGAAGAAGCUGAUGAUGAAGAUGCUGAUCGCAGUUCUUCCAGUGGUGCAUCUACUCUGUUAUCACCUGUCAGAAAUUCUGACAAUGCCUCCACUUCAUCUGACAAGGAUAGUCGGCAAAUACAAGCAAGACAUUACAAAACAUUACAAGAAAUGUGUAAGAAGGCAAAACCAAACCAAGAAGAUGUGUCCCAGCUAUUAGACCUCGAGUUUGAAGCCAGAAGAUCCUUCAUUGACUCAGACACCAUGAAAGAGGAGAACAGAGCUUGCCUCAUCUUGGAUGCAUAUCCAUGCUUUAAAGAAUUGCAUCAUGCGUUGGGUGAGCUUCGCAGAAUUUUGGAUCCCCACAACAACAAGUUCAUCAGUCAAGUAAAACUGAGAUGGGAAGAAUUCUGCUCCAGGGUAGAGUUCUACGGUGUGUCAAAGAAGGCAAUGAAUCCACCAAUGACCAUGGACAAAACUGAAGCCCACCUUGCACUGAUGAAGGCUCUUCCAACCCUCUUUCCCACACCUGCCCAUCCACCAAAGAAGAUGGGGAAUGCUUCUGAAGCAUUUCUACAUGUCCUGAAGCCUACAGAAGAUCCAGAUGCUGUCCUCCAGAAACGAAGCUUGUCAUGUCCAGUAGUGAUGUUCGAUGGCUGCAAGUGUGUCAUUGCUGUUGGUAAUUUACCAGUUACAACAUUUGACAAAGAAAAAAUUGGUGAGGCUAUGAUAUAUGUGAUGGCAUACUUUUAUGCACUCCAUCUGACUUACCACAAAUGCGUGGCAACCCUGCUGUCUGUCAUUCAGACAGAAGUUCUCCAGGAUGCCAUUCAUGAGCAUGACACUACAUCAUCUUACAGAAAAGCCCUGGCAGAAUGGCAUGCAUUUAUUGGAAAGUAGUGUGUAAAUUUCAGAUAAGAUUAGGAGAGGGCACUUCUGUUUUGUUUUUGUUUGUUUUUUCAAUCUGGGUCUUAUUUCUAAAAUGGAAAAUGUUCAUUUACUCACCCAGACAAGUUUUGUGGUAUUUGGUGUCAUUCGGAAGAAAUUUGAAUCUUUGUGGUCUUCCUAUGUCACUCGUCAAUUUUAAUGGGGCAAUGGCGAAACCUCUAAGGCUGUUGAAAUGUUGAAACCACUUAAACAAACUCAUAAUGUUGGACCUGUACUGUUCAAUUGUAUCUUUAUUAUCUGCAGGUUAUUGUUAAAGUGGACAAAUAAAGAUGGACACUUUUACUCUG
ensembl:lncRNA